rnacentral:rRNA from 1 species
AGGACAAACGCUGGCGGCGUGCUUAACACAUGCAAGUCGAACGGUCACGCUUCGGUGUGAUAGUGGCGGACGGGUGAGUAACACGUAGUCAACCUACCCAACAGUGGGGAAUAACCCCUCGAAAGAGGAGCUAAUACCGCAUACGCUCUCAGUCGUUGGACGGAGAGGAAACGCUUAUCUUCGGAUAAGUGGCUGAUGGAUGGGACUGCGGCGGAUUAGCUAGAUGGUGGGGUAACGGCCUACCAUGGCGACGAUCCGUAGCUGGUCUGAGAGGACGACCAGCCACACUGGGACUGAGACACGGCCCAGACUCCUACGGGAGGCAGCAGUGAGGAAUAUCCACAAUGGGCGAAAGCCUGAUGGAGCGACGCCGCGUGCGGGAAGAAGCCGUUCGGGAGUAACCG